GGCUCGUUGGUCUAGGGGUAUGAUUCUCGCUUUGGGUGUGAGGGGUCCCGGGUUCAAAUCCCGGACGAGCCC
rfam:Danio rerio chromosome 4, GRCz11 reference primary assembly.